GAGUUUGAUCGUGGCUCAGGAUGAACGCUGGCGGCGUGCCUAAUACAUGCAAGUCGAGCGAACGGACGAGAAGCUUGCUUCUCUGAUGUUAGCGGCGGACGGGUGAGUAACACGUGGAUAACCUACCUAUAAGACUGGGAUAACUUCGGGAAACCGGAGCUAAUACCGGAUAAUAUUUUGAACCGCAUGGUUCAAAAGUAAAGACGGUCUUGCUGUCACUUAUAGAUGGAUCCGCGCUGCAUUAGCUAGUUGGUAAGGUAACGGCUUACCAAGGCAACGAUGCAUAGCCGACCUGAGAGGGUGAUCGGCCACACUGGAACUGAGACACGGUCCAGACUCCUACGGGAGGCAGCAGUAGGGAAUCUUCCGCAAUGGGCGAAAGCCUGACGGAGCAACGCCGCGUGAGUGAUGAAGGUCUUCGGAUCGUAAAACUCUGUUAUUAGGGAAGAACAUAUGUGUAAGUAACUGUGCACAUCUUGACGGUACCUAAUCAGAAAGCCACGGCUAACUACGUGCCG
rnacentral:rRNA from 1 species